rnacentral:rRNA from 1 species
AUUGAACGCUGGCGGCAGGCUUAACACAUGCAAGUCGAACGAGUGGAGGACGGGUGAGUAAUGCUUGGGAAUCUAGCUUAUGGAGGGGGAUAACUACGGGCAACUGUAGCUAAUACCGCGUACCGUAGGAUGAGCACAAGUGGGAUUAGGUAGUUGGUGAGGUAAAGGCUCACCAAGCAGACGAUCUCUAGCUGGUCGGAGAGGAUGACCGGCCACACUGGGACUGAGACACGGCCCAGACUCCUACGGGAGGCAGCAGUGGGGAAUAUUGCGCAAUGGGGGCAACCUGACGCAGCCAUGCCGCGUGAAUGAAGAAGGUCUUCGGGUUGUAAAGUUCUUUCGGUAGAGAGGCGUUAACUACAGAAGAAGCACCGGCUAACUCCGUGCCAGCAGCCGCGGUAAUAC